GGUUGGCAGUGGAGGCAAAGAUCUCUGUGAGGAUUUCUGUAUGUCUGAGGCCUUCUGAAGUGAAAGAUGGCCUCUCCCUCCUGCAUAAUUAGGAGAUGGAGGCAAGUCUGGAACAUGAAGGAGAAGAGGGCGAGAGGUCCCGUAAUAGCAUGCUGGGUACAAAUUACCCACCCUUCCUUCCGCUCCAGCACUGGCUGCAUGUGGCAUGAUGCAGGAUCAGGCACACAGCUCUGCACCUUCUACUGUGCGCAGUUAUGGUAUGAGAACUACAGAAACAUACACCGAACCUGUGCAGGAUUAUAAACUUGUAAAAUAAAAAAAUAAUAGCUGUAGAACUUCUGAGCCCAGAGGUCCUCCGCUUUGUAUUUAAAACAAGAAAGAAAAAAAAAAAAACCUCACUUAUAAGCAAAAUAUGUUGGAAGGUUUUAAACAAAAUUUUGAUAUAAAGGAAAAGGAUGGUAUAAAUGUCACUCUUAAGUCCUGCUUUAUAAAAAAAAGAUUGCUGCUUGCGGUGCUGGGUAUGCCUAGCAGCAUAUGCAGCAUAUUCAUUUUCCAGCACAGCUUUUGGCUUAAUGCAGUGAAGACAACAUUACUGAUUGUUGUCAUGACAUUUGCCUCUGCAAGAUUAAAGUGUUUCCAUUCUAGCUUCCGCAGCUAUUAUUGAAAUAACAUAAUUUGUGAAUUAUAUGAAUUUGCACCUUGCCUAGGAUAAUGAGUUAACGAGGCAUAUGUAUGAAGAACAAUGUUUCAUUAUUAGCUGUAAAAAAUAUGAAGAUCUUCAAUAUGGGCAUCACUGCAGCUUGUGCAUGAUUCUUUGCUCUAUUUUCAUGUUCUGAUGUUGAUGAAAAGAAACAGCAGUUGUAUUGUGGCAGCACAGCACUGAGCAAAUUUCACUCUCAUAAUAGUUUCCGCAGUGUUUGGCCAUCAGAGAGCAGUAACAAAUCCCAGCAGUGCCAUCUGAAACACUCAUCUGGUUAAUCUCUACGUGGCAACUGCAUCUGCUCUCAGUGCCUACCGCCUGCACCCUUGCAGGUUUUCUGUAGGAAACCAGCUGAUUCCAAGGCAAAUUUACUUUUUUAAUAAAAGUGGAAUUCACAACCCACAGACAGUGAGGGCUGGGUUGCUCUGGAGCAAAAUGCAGGGAACAAAGGAACACAUAGAAGAGUAGUUGGCUGAGCAGCUGGGAAGGCUUCUCUCUUUCUCUGUUGACUACUGAAGGUGUUUGUAAUGAUUAUAUUCUUCCAUUAGUUGCCUCAGACCAGUGUCUGACGCCCUCAUCACAUCCUCCACAGGCUUCCCAUAGGUGCCUGUGCCACGCUACUCCAGUCACAUAAGCUAAUGGCAGACCACAUGUUGGCCAUUUAAGGUCUCGAAAAGCCUCUUACAGCAAAAAAAUGGAAAUAAAGCUGUCCUGCACUAUACCUGGAAAAGAUAACAGAGGGAUAUUUUAAUUUUAAAUUAUUGAAUGGCUAUUACAAGCCCUUUCCAGAUGAUUAAAGCAUGAGUGUUCAUGAGUUUGCCCUUCUGAAAAGGAAACUGAAGUUAAACAUAGUGAAAAAAUGCAUGGUUUAGAACACAAGAAACAGGCAUGAUUUGCUGAUCCGUGGUUUGUCGUGUAUGUGUAGUAGAUCAAAUCAUAUUUCUCAUUAUCCUUUUUCAUCAGAAGCUGGGAUGUUGUAAUGCUGUCUGUAUUUGCUUUUGAUAAUUGUGAUUGUAGUCCACCAGCUUGUUCUGUUCCCCACAAUGAAGAGCUAAUUAAAAGGUUAAAGAUAUUCCCAGUCUGAAACUCCGUGGCCAAUAAAUUCAAAUUGAGAAUGAAAGGGUAUUAAAGCUCAGGUACUGUGUAUUAA